rnacentral:rRNA from 1 species
UACGGGGGGGGCAAGCGUUGUUCGGAAUUACUGGGUGUAAAGGGUUCGUAGGCGGUGCGGCAAGUCGGGAGUGAAAUCUCUGGGCUUAACCCAGAGGCUGCUUCCGAAACUGCUGUGCUUGAGUGUGGGAGAGGCGCGUGGAAUUGCAGGUGUAGCGGUGAAAUGCGUAGAUAUCUGCAGGAACACCCGUGGCGAAAGCGGCGCGCUGGACCACUACUGACGCUGAGUGAACGAAAGCUAGGGGAGCAAACAGG